rnacentral:tRNA from 1 species
UAAUAUUAUGACUGAUUUAAGUGAUAAAUUGUAAAUUUAUUUAAGAAAAUUAUUUUCUAAUAUUAA